rnacentral:rRNA from 1 species
GAUGAACGCUGGCGGCGUGCCUAAUACAUGCAAGUCGAGCGAACAGACGAGGAGCUUGCUCCUCUGACGUUAGCGGCGGACGGGUGAGUAACACGUGGAUAACCUACCUAUAAGACUGGGAUAACUUCGGGAAACCGGAGCUAAUACCGGAUAAUAUAUUGAACCGCAUGGUUCAAUAGUGAAAGACGGUUUUGCUGUCACUUAUAGAUGGAUCCGCGCCGCAUUAGCUAGUUGGUAAGGUAACGGCUUACCAAGGCAACGAUGCGUAGCCGACCUGAGAGGGUGAUCGGCCACACGGGAACUGAGACACGGUCCAGACUCCUAAGGUAGGCAGCAGUAGGGAAUCGUCCGCAAUGGGCGAAAGCCUGACGGAGCAACGCCGCGUGAGUGAUGAAGGUCUUCGGUUCGUAAAACUCUGUUAUUAGGGAAGAACAAAUGUGUAAGUAACUAUGCACGUCUUGACGGUACCUAAUCAGAAAGCCACGGCUAACUACGUG